CUUUGCUUUUGUGGGUUGUUUGGGCUUGGAUGCUUGUAACAUCUCUGUGGCAUCACAUGGGCCGGCCAGUAACUGCCCUCCUUGACCCCCGAGCAGUCCAUGAACAUCCUGACCUCCGUGCUGCUGCUGUACGCCAAGGAGGAGGAAGCCUUCUGGCUGUUGGUUGCUGUGUGUGAGCGGAUGCUGCCCGAUUACUUCAACCACCGAGUGAUCGGGGCACAAGUUGACCAGUCUGUCUUCGAGGAGCUCAUCAAGGGUCAUCUCCCAGAGCUAGCAGAGCACAUGAACGACCUCUCAGCCCUGGCGUCCGUCUCUCUCUCGUGGUUCCUGACCCUGUUCCUCAGCAUCAUGCCUCUAGAGAGUGCGGUGAAUGUGGUAGACUGCUUCUUCUACGAUGGCAUCAAAGCCAUCUUCCAGCUGGGACUGGCUGUGCUUGAGGCCAAUGCUGAGGACCUGUGCAGCAGCAAGGAUGAUGGCCAGGCCUUGAUGAUCCUCAGCAGGUGUUGGUGUUUGGAAGUGCCCUGGCAUGUCUGACACUGUGAAGGCAGCCCGUGUUGUGGUACCCGAAUGAGG
rnacentral:sRNA from 1 species